GACGAACGCUGGCGGCGUGCCUAAUACAUGCAAGUUGAGCGCUGAAGGUUGGUACUUGUACCAACUGGAUGAGCAGCGAACGGGUGAGUAACGCGUGGGGAAUCUGCCUUUGAGCGGGGGACAACAUUUGGAAACGAAUGCUAAUACCGCAUAAAAACUUUAAACACAAGUUUUAAGUUUGAAAGAUGCAAUUGCAUCACUCAAAGAUGAUCCCGCGUUGUAUUAGCUAGUUGGUGAGGUAAAGGCUCACCAAGGCGAUGAUACAUAGCCGACCCGAGAGGGUGAUCGGCCACAUUGGGACUGAGACACGGCCCAAACUCCUACGGGAGGCAGCAGUAGGGAAUCUUCGGCAGUGGACGAAAGUCUGACCGAGCAACGCCGCGUGAGUGAAGAAGGGUUUCGGAUCGUAAAAUUCUGUUGGUAGAGAAGAACGUUGGUGAGAGUGGAAAGCUCAUCAAGUGACGGUAACUACCCAGAAAGGGACGGCUAACUACGUG
rnacentral:rRNA from 1 species